UCGAGAAUUUUUAGUAAAAUAUAGUAAUAGAUUUUUGGUGGGAUCAGACGUGUUUCAUUUUGUGUUCUCUUGACAGUGAAAUAGAGCUAUGUAAGAAUUAUCAAGAGCUGACUAUGCUCGGUUAAGUGCAACCGAAAGGAAUGGGUACUUGAGGAAACUACUUGGAGAACACGACAGUGAUUCGAGUAGGGUUUCUGAUAGAUUCAGAUUUCAGCAGAUAGAGCUAGACAUUAAAACCAACAAGGUAAUUCAGUACGUGACGAACCAGAAGAUUCUGAAGAUACAGAAGAAAUCGCUGAAGAGAAUUCAGCAGUAGAAGAAGAAGUUGAGAGUAGCGAGAGUGAGGAUGAUGACAAUGAAGUAGAAACAGCUGAGCCUGAAGGAAAAGCCAUCCAUCUUGGGGUUUUAUUGCCAAAGAUAAAACAGUGUGGAACAAAACUCUACCAACUCAGCAUCAGACCGCAGCUCUUAAUUUUGUACGCCAGCGGAGUGGAACUCAUCGGAGUACGGAAACGUUGUCAAUUUACGAGAACUUUCAAAAAAAAUUUGUAUCAACGAAAUGGUUGAUAUAAUCGUCCGUCGCACUAAGAAAAAAGCUGAAACAAUUUCCAAGAGUACAGUGCUAACCAUCCAAACUCACAGCAUCAAUGGAAGCCCGUUACGAUACCCGAAAUUUAUUCGUUCUUCGGUAUCUUGAUUUGUGCUGGAGCAAAUAAUUCGAAUACAGAUCAUACGUUUGACAUGUGGCACUCCAAUUCUUAUCCGCUGUAUCGCGCGACGAUGGGAUUGACGAAAUUUUAUAUAUAUUCCAUAAUAUUCUGCGUUUUUUGCGAUUCGACGAUGGUAAUACUCGAAGUGAACGUAAAAAAGAAAACAAGGCAGCUCCAAUUUGUGAUGUGUGGACAAUAUUGAAUUCAAAUUUAGCUCAGAUGUACAAACCAACAGCUAACUUGACGAUUGAUGAACAGCUUGAUCCAUACCGUACUGGAUUUACUCAAUAUAUUCCGUACUCAAUAUAUACAAGUAUGGUAUUAAGAUCUGGUGGAUUUGUGAUGAAGAAAACGCUUAUCCUUUGCAAGGGAUUAUGUGCACUGGUUAAAACAGAUAAUACUGCAGAAAAAAUUAGGUGAAAGAGUAGUGAAAGAAUUGGCGGCUCCGUACCGAGGUAGUGGUAGAAACAUCUGCAUGGAUAAUUUCUUUACUACUGUACCAGUUGCUAAACAUUUAUUGUCGUGGAAUAUUACCAUUCUUGGCACGCUAAAAAGAAUAAACCUUACAACCUAGCGUUAUGAGAGCGAAUAAAACACGGAGCAGUAUACGACAGUUUUUGGAUUUCACGAAAAGGUUACCAUGUGUUCCUACGUUCCUAAAAAAAUAAAGCUGUCAUUCUGAUAUAUACAAUGCAUUCAGAUAUAUCAGUUGGUGAUGACGCUAAACGAAAACCAGAAAUAAUAAAUUUUUAUAAUAAAUAUAAAGCUGGAGUUGACACAAUGGACCAAAUGGUGCGGAGAUACACUAGUCAACGACGAUCUUCGAGAUGGCCACUGGCAAUGUUCUUCAACAUGCUAGAUAUUUCUUCACUUGCGGCAUAUAUAAUUUAUUAUUAAAAUAAUAAAAUGAUUGUCAAAAAAACGACAGAACGUCGUCAAUUUAUGCGUAAACUAAUAAAGAACUAGCAUUGCCGAUGAUUGAACAUUGCACGGCGAAUCCACAAGUAAUGCGCCACUUCUCAACAAAGAUUGGCAUUGAAAGUGUAUUAGGCCAUAUACUGACGAAAAACGUCGUGAUAAAUCCGGAAGGAAAAAGUAACAGGAUCUUGUCAUGUCUGCAAUGCUUUGCCAAUAAGAAGACGGUGAAAGACACGUAAGGCCUGUGAUAAUUGUCACCAACCUGUGUGUGACGAGCACUCAGUUAAUCGUGUACAAUGUGUUCAAUGUCAUUAAUUAUAAAAAAAGUGUAAUAUUUCUUUAUUUUUUUAAUAAAAUUUAGUUGCAUUCAUUAAUUGAAAUU